rnacentral:lncRNA from 1 species
AGAGGUGUCAAUUUAACCCAUGGCCCCAGGGCCAGCCCCAACCCACUAUUGAAAAAGCCCUAUUUUAAGAAGCCCCUUAAGUAGGGGGCCAGAAAAAAGCCCCAAUCCCCAAAACCCCCUCUCAAGUGGGUUAGGGUCAGGGUUAAAGUGGGUUUAGCCCCACUCCAAAACUUUAAUUAAAUUUUAGGCUCAGUCCAAAACUUCAAAUUAAAUUUUAGANN